ensembl:lncRNA
AUCAGGAGGCUCCGAGGUGCGACGUGAACGUGACUUCCUUCCUGCUUCCUGGUGCUUUGCGGACAAGGGCGGUGAUGGGAGAGGAAGGGACGAGCCCAGGCCGGGGUUUCCACGGCUGGCAGCCCGGCUCCCUGCCGCCCGCCCGCUUCUGGGCUUCUUGGCUGGGGCUGCUCCUGACAGAAGGGAUGCGUGUUGUCGGGGGCGGGGGGCGGCGUGUGUGCGUGUGCGUGUGCGAGAGUAUGUGUGUGCGCUUAAAAUACAAAAAAAAGAAGGCUGGCUACACUCAGCUGCGAGAGGCUGGCCGGGCUCCGUCCGUGCCAAUUCCCUCCGAGCUGGCACCGUGGGGACCGGGAGGGGGGAGAGGUGAGGGAAGAUGGACGCUUGCCACGGACGAGCGGCAGGGCUGGGCGCCUCCCGGGUGCCAGCGGGCGCACGGGGCCAAAACUCACAAACAAAAACCGCAGCAGAUCGCUGGCAGCCCGUCCUGGGGAGGCGGCAGCCACUUGGCAGAGGAGCCAUGGAGGACCCGGCUGGGAGUAGGCGGCCGGCGCACAGGUGGCCUCAAACAGCCUCAGAACCUUUCCUGACACAGAUUUCGGGCAGGCACGAUGAACUGACUGGCCUGGAAGAUGACUCUUGUUUGCCAUCCUGAAUUCCAAGGGCGCCGUCCGGCCAAGAUGCUGAAGUGUAACGUCCUAUUGACUCUGUCCAUCGUCCUCACGACACUGUGGGUACAUUGUGGGUUCCGGACUGCCUCUUCAACUCUGCAUUUUCCUGACACACAGGAAUGGGCCCCAGGAAAUGCUGGUGGAGAGAAAUGAAUGACUAACUGUUUAUAAUUCUAAGUCCUUUCGCUUCUGAGCCUGGACAGGACAAUGGCUGGGGUCCUAGGACCCACAUCUGCUCCUGAUGCAAGCAAAGUGUUGGAUCCCAUCAGGAGCUCCAGCCUCACACUCACGUUUUAGGAAACUCCCGGAUGGAGCACGCAAUGUGAGCCCCAGUUAACCACCACAGUGCAUCUCCUUGGCCACAUUUAGGCUCAGGGGUAGGCCCACAACACCGUCAGAGCAAAUGAGAUGCAACAAGGUUUCCCCACCCAUUGGGAAUUCUUGGAGGUGGCCCCUCGCUCGUUCCCCAGGGUGGACACUGGGAGGAUUGUAGGGGUCAAGUUCAGCAUCUUGCAACCACAAGAGGCCUGAGAAUGGAACCAACAUUAGGAUCUUGGUGUUGGAGAAGUUAAAGAGAGAAACCAAGUCCUGGAUUAACCUGUUCCUGAAGCUUGAUCAAUCCCAUGGUCACCCCAGUAUAUGAGUCAAUAAAUUUGCUUUUUGGUUUAAGACCGUUUUGGGUGGAUUUUCCAUCCUUCACAAAAGAGGAAAUCUGUUAGAGAGCCCAGCCCCCCUGCAUCUAGGAUGUGGGAAGGCUCAGUCCAUUCUGAGUGCCCUGCCCCUUCUGCAGACAAUGCAAGAGAAAGGACUGAACGCAGUUGGUGGCAGCGAGGGGUCAGCCACUGCCCGGCUCGUCGGCCCUCAGAUCUGUCCUUAUUGGACUCAGGAGGAGCGGGCAGAAGGCUGCAAACACAAACUGAGGAGCAGGAGGAGGCUGAGCUCCACUCACUGUGACGGGGCCAUGGGCUGACACAGAGGCAGUGACCUCCCUCCCGUGGCCGAGGCUGUGGGCUCAGCAGGCACAGGGGACUCAGCGGGCAUGGGGAGGCCAGGCCUGGUGUCGGCCCCACAAGGGCCACAGUUGACCACACAGGUUGGCGGUUCCUACCCUCAGGACCAUUAGCCAAGACAUCAAGGAAAAUGUUCCAGCUGGGUGCUCACAGACAGGCAGAGGCCAGCUCUGACCCAAGAGGAGCUGACCUCAAACCACAAGUGGCCCUCCAGGCCUCGGCCCCCUGUCACCUCCCUCGCUGUGGUGGCUUUGUCCCGAGUCAGCCGGCCAGGCUGGCCUGCAUUUCCCGGAAUCCCU